UUUCAGCAAGGCAAGGCUCCUUCGUUCCAGCAAGCCAGAGUUGUGCUCUGCAAAGCAGCCGCCUUAGUCUGUGGCUUGUCAGUUAGGAUCCUGUCCUCUAGUGUCCUCUCCUUCAAGGACCCAAAGGGGACAAGAUUGCUGAGUAGAAUGUAGACCUCCCUCAGCUUGCAGAUCCGUGUUCCGUGCUUCUGAUCCCAGGAUGGAAGCCAGCCAACCCUGCUCCUGGUCUGUCUUUAGGGUUCACUAAAGCUUUUGAUAGAAGAUUAUUUUCUUAUACUGUGUUGCAGGCUCAGUCCUUGAAGUGAUCUUGGUUUUUACUCUCUGAAUCAGAACCAUAUUGACUUCAUACUGCAGUGAACACCUUUUCCUUCCUUUUCAUAAACAUUUUGUUUAAGAAAUAAGAUUGUGGGGAUGAAGAAAAUAACCAUAGCUCAGUAUAAAACGGUAUCACUGUGAACUGAACAUUUUACUGUCAGUGUAACUGUUGGAGAAAUCUCACUGACGUGCUCAACUUUCAAGGGACGCACUAGGUUCUAAGUUCAAGUUCGUUAUUCAUUUCCUCCCCGGGAGCUGCGGACUGCUAUUAUGCUGCUAAAGAAACAGCCUCUGUUUGCAGUCAAGUUUAUUAGGGUUCAACUCUACCUUCAGAUUUCAGAUUUGGCUAUAGCUCAACUGGAAGGCUGUAAAGACCCAAGGACACUUAGCAUGGCAGGAUGGUGAACACCUAAUCUAAGCAGGCAUUGCCUGUCUGACAUCAAUACAGAUGAAUCAAAUGUUGGUACAAUCACUUCUCUAAGAUUGCCAAACUGCCUAUAACCAACUUAGUAGGAGCAACUGUUCAGAAGAAACUCUGUUUAACACCUCAAGGUAGAGCUAUUAGUUCUGUGUAGAAAUAUUUAGAAUCCUGACACUGAAGGAUGCCAGCCUGUACUUCACUCAACCCUUCUGCAUUCAUAUGAGGUACUGAAGCCCAAAGACGGUUGUAUGGUGUAUUCAAGAUCACACAGUCAUUACCCCCACAAGACUGAUAAAAAACUAAUGCUCACACUGUCAUGGUAUUCCAGUGCUGAUCUUUUAAAAUAAAAUAAAUGUUAUUUUUAAGCUUGUUUUCUUUCUUUCCUUCUGUAUUUCGUGUGUGUGUGUGUUGUGUGUGUGUGAUGAAGGUGGGGGAGACAGUUGGUAAACUGACUGUGGGCUAGAGGAUCUGAGUUAAAUCUGCAAAAGCCAUGUUAAAAUUCAAGGUGUGGUAGCAUCUGUUUGUGCUUGCAAUCCUAGCUUAGGGGAGAUAAAGACAGGAAGGUACUUGGGGCUCCACGGCUAGCCAGUCUCCCUUUGUUGAUGAACUCCAGACCAAAAGGAGACACUGCCCCCAAAGGAAUUGGAUGGUUUUUCUGAGAAGGACACCUGAGAUUGUUGUCUGGUGUCCACAUACAUCCACAGGCACACACAUGCACACAGACACACACAUGCAUGCAGACCACGUAUCUUAAAAGGAUAAGAGGCAGGGCUGGAUGUGUUGCUGAUAAUAGCACUCAGGAAGUUAGGUAGGAAGAUGCUAGUCUAGCCUACACAGUGUGACUGUCUCAAAAACAAACAAACAAACAAAACAAAACAGAAGUAAUAAUCGAUUUGAUGAGUUCUGGAAAGAAAUGGUAAGUUUUCCUGGAUUCUAAAAUACAUG
rnacentral:lncRNA from 1 species